rnacentral:rRNA from 1 species
AGAGUUUGAUCAUGGCUCAGGACGAACGCUGGCGGCGUGCCUAAUACAUGCAAGUCGAGCGAAUCGGAUGGGAGCUUGCUCCCGGAUGAUUAGCGGCGGACGGGUGAGUAACACGUGGGCAACCUGCCCGUAAGAUUGGGAUAACUCCGGGAAACCGGUGCUAAUACCGAAUAGUUUCUGACACCUCAUGGUGUCAGAGGGAAAGUUGGCUUUCGAGCUAACACUUACGGAUGGGCCCGCGGCGCAUUAGCUAGUUGGUGAGGUAACGGCUCACCAAGGCGACGAUGCGUAGCCGACCUGAGAGGGUGAUCGGCCACACUGGGACUGAGACACGGCCCAGACUCCUACGGGAGGCAGCAGUAGGGAAUCUUCCGCAAUGGACGAAAGUCUGACGGAGCAACGCCGCGUGAGCGAAGAAGGCCUUCGGGUCGUAAAGCUCUGUUGUCAGGGAAGAACAAGUGCCAUUCGAAUAGGUUGGCACCUUGACGGUACCUGGCCAGAAAGCCACGGCUAACUACGUGCCAGCCGCCGCGGUAAUUC